UCCUUAGUUACCAGCACAUUAUGGUGGGCACUCUAAGGAGACUGCCGGUGACAAACCGGAGGAAGGUGGGGAUGACGUCAAGUCAUCAUGGCCCUUACGGCCAGGGCUACACACGUGCUACAAUGGUCGGUACAAAGGGUUGCCAAGCCGCGAGGUGGAGCUAAUCCCAUAAAACCGAUCGUAGUCCGGAUCGCAGUCUGCAACUCGACUGCGUGAAGUCGGAAUCGCUAGUAAUCGUGAAUCAGAAUGUCACGGUGAAUACGUUCCCGGGCCUUGUACACACCGCCCGUCACACCAUGGGAGUGGGUUGCUCCAGAAGUAGCUAGUCUAACCGCAAGGGGGACGGUUACCACGGAGUGAUUCAUGACUGGGGUGAAGUCGUAACAAGGUAGCCGUAGGGGAACCUGCGGCUGGAUCACCUCCUUAA
rnacentral:rRNA from 1 species